UAGGAUUUUUACUUCUGAAAAUUUUAAUUUUUCUUUUCAGGGCUAUUUUUUUCAUAAAUACUAUUUUUAAAAAAAAAAUACUGUGUAAGUUUUAUACUGUUGUGAUUAAUUUUUACGGUUAUUUUUUAGUUGUUCUAUUUGUUGUUUUUAAUUGUUUUGUUAUGUUGUUUUACGGUUAUUUUAGAUUAUUUUAUAAAAAAAUAGUAUUUUUAUAAAAAAUUCUAAAAUCUAAUAUUUUCUUAAAAAUUCCUUGUUUUAUAUAAACAAAUUUUAUACAAACUAGUAUGAGGCUGAUAGCCUUCAUAACUUUUCAAUUUUUGAAAAAACAACUCUUCACAACUAAUACGAGGUGUUUCACCAAAUAUUAUGGAAUUUUUACAUAAAAUGCCUUUUUUUUUUCAACAUUUAUACGGUACCAUAAUUUUAAUUUUCAAUUUUACUAUUUUUUUUAAACUUUUAUACGGUUUUUUUUUUAAAUAAUUACAUCAUAUACGGUUUUCGUUUUUAUCAUUUAAUUGCCUACACGUUUCCCUCUAAUAUGUCAAAUUUCAAUCACUUCCCUGCCAGUUACCAUUAUCUAACCCACUCACUCCAUAUUAUUAUUAUAUUUUGACUUUCAUAUUCUACAUCAUUCUCAUCUUCCUCUUCUUUUUCUUUCUGAUCAUCGAGUUCUUACUUUUUUUUUUCUGCUUGUUGUUUCUUUGAUUUUUCCUUGUUUUUGAGUAAUGGUUGUUUCUCAAUCUCGUUCAAGUUCAUUGUCCCCUUCUCCUAAGAAACCCAAAAAAAGUCUAUUAAAGAAUCUAAACCCAAAUUAGUUGCUCAAACUUCUUCAAAACCCUCUAAGCAGAAAUCUAAAGUUGUGGUUUCUGCUGGUGAGCCUUCAUCUGGUGAUGCUAGGAAAGCUAAGAGGAAGAGGAUUGAUAAUGAUGAUGAUUUUGUUUCUGUUCGUCCUAGAAAGCAAGCUUUGUCGAGCAUCAAUGGCUGCUCUGUUUUCUUUUUCAGUCGGACGAGAAUGCUUAAGGUGUUGAAGAAGCCGAAACCGUAUUUUAUGUAAUUUAGAUUACACUUACCGUAUAUAAGUUGUAUUUUGGGGUGUAACCGUAUUUUUGUUAAAUUUUUCCUAUUUUAGUGCAAUUGUGAAAAUUUCCCU